UUUUGCUGCAGAUGAGAAAUGAGCGUCCUCUUCCUUUAUCAUGCAACGCCGACCACAUGUCGUUUCCGCUUCUUCGCAUUGAUUGAAACGGUCUUAGUAAAUGCUUUGUGAUCAAUCCGAAUGGUUCUCUCCCCCUACUAUGUCAUCUUCAAUGCUUUUCCGAUCUGAAAGGCGGUGGUGUUUGGGUAUAAAUAUGGAAUUUUUUCCUCUGAUCCGAAGGCCAGGAACGUUUGAUGCGGUGGUAAACUCAGGGAGUGAAUAUGCUCUUAUUGGAUUGACAGGUACAUUUCGGCCGCUGCACACUACUUCUUCUUACGCCUCUUAAACGGUGUCUCAUGUAGCUGCAUCGGCGGUUUGCGUAUGCACUACCCAAUGUCAGCUGGAGAGAAGAAAAUCCAAGAGAGCCAUGUUGAAGCAGAUCACAUCGACAUUAUAGCUUUUGCCAAAUCUGCAUAAACAGGUGUAUGUUCCUAGAUUACCCAAGAAAGAAGGCUACAUGUACAAUUUUAUUCUGCAACAGUUUCUUUAGGUGGUGGAUAUGAUGCACAGUCUUAACAAACUUCAGGAAAGUUGUCUUUAAGAAAACACUGAAGCUAAAUGCAAAGAGGAAAAACUAAUUGUGGCCAAAAUCAGCAUUGACUAAGUACACAACUCCUAGGAUUGGAUUGUAAUCAAGUAGCAUCUAUUUUGUAAAUAUGAAAUCACUCAGUUGUUAUAUGUGGUUUUAGUGUAGAAAGAUAUGAAAUAAACAAACGUAACCGUAACUAAGAAUUAUUUUUACAUCUUCAAUAUGACUAAACCUCCACAACUAUUUUAGAUCAUAAAUAUAAAAAAAAAACAAUUCACCCUUACAAUGAAGACACACUCGAGCUUUACA